GUAGGGGGCAAGCGUUAUCCGGAUUUACUGGGUGUAAAGGGAGCGUAGACGGCACGGCAAGCCAGAUGUGAAAGCCCGGGGCUCAACCCCGGGACUGCAUUUGGAACUGCUGAGCUAGAGUGUCGGAGAGGCAAGUGGAAUUCCUAGUGUAGCGGUGAAAUGCGUAGAUAUUAGGAGGAACACCAGUGGCGAAGGCGGCUUGCUGGACGAUGACUGACGUUGAGGCUCGAAAGCGUGGGGAGCAAACAGGAUUAGAUACCCUGGUAGUCCACGCCGUAAACGAUGACUGCUAGGUGUCGGGCGGCAAAGCCAUUCGGUGCCGCAGCUAACGCAAUAAGCAGUCCACCUGGGGAGUACGUUCGCAAGAAUG
rnacentral:rRNA from 1 species